UCUGUGGUUAUUUGUAAAUGCUUCCUAUAGAUUCAGUUAAAUGGCUUUGUGUUCUGAAAUUGCUCCCAAGACAUUGAUCUGGACUUCAUACACGUAUGUACAAAAUGACUUUGUUUUCUGUGCAAUGGUGGUAAAACAGUUAAAAAGCAAGCAAAGAAGCCAAAGCCGGUGAACUGUUUUUUAAACAGGCUGAAAGUGCCACCUACGGUCCACUCCGUAGAAAUGCCCAAAGAAUGUAGUCUGAGCCUUAUGGACUGAGAGUCACAGGAACUAGGAAUUUAAGGCUGAUUUAGUUAACGACACCCCUGGUGAGAAGACUAAUGAAGACAAAAGAAAUCAGAAAUCUGAAGAUCUUUGGGAACUCCGUGCUCAUGAUGUAAAUGGCGAGACGUGCAUGAAGGUUCUUAGCCAGGGGUCCUCACAGGAUUUUCCAGGCCCUGUUACAGGUCAACAGGGAACCAGGUAGUGAGUGUCGGGGCAAAGCCCCCAGGCUGAGGCCAGGCCGGGUCUCCCGCCAGUCUCCUUCCUUCCGUGCACCACGAGUGCAAGCGAGUGUUAUCACUUCUCCUACAGAAUGAAGGUGUGUGUUGCAGGAAAGCUGGAGUGAACUCUCUAGUGACAUAAAUUUAAAACUACAGCAAGAGGGAGAUGGAGGGAGGGAGACAGAUAAACAGAUAUGAUGUGCCCUGGCUUUAGUCUAUAGUGCAAAAUUUAUGAAAACAGAAAAUGAUAUUAAAACCGGUUAGUCUUCA